rnacentral:tmRNA from 2 species
GGGGGCGACCUGGUCUCGACGUGGGUCGCGAAGCAGCGCAGGGCAUACCGAGGGUCGGAGUACCUCGUAAAUCCAACCGAAAAUUAGAUAGUCGCCAACGACGAAUCUUACGCUCUGGCCGCUUAAGGCCGGACGCUGCAC